AAGCUGUUUGAAGGUUGACAGGACAAGUUAUAAUGAUAUAGAGAAGACUAGCAUGGCUCUUGCCCAAGAAUGGCAUGCAUAAAUUGAAAUGGUUCAAUUUCUGU
rnacentral:snRNA from 1 species